rnacentral:rRNA from 1 species
GUGGGGAAUCUUCCGCAAUGGACGAAAGUCUGACGGAGCAACGCCGCGUGAGUGAAGAAGGUUUUCGGAUCGUAAAGCUCUUUCGUUAGGGACGAACGUGCUCUUUGUGAAUAAUGAGGAGUAAUGACGGUACCUAAAUAAGAAGCCACGGCUAACUACGUGCCAGCAGCCGCGGUAAUACGUAGGUGGCAAGCGUUGUCCGGAAUUAUUGGGCGUAAAGCGCGCGCAGGCGGGAUAUCAAGUCUGUCUUAAAAGUGCGAGGCUCAACCUCGUGAGGGGACAGAAACUGGUAUGCUUGAGGGUCGGAGAGGAAAGUGGAAUUCCAAGUGGAGCGGUGAAAUGCGUAGAGAUUUGGAAGAACACCAGUGGCGAAGGCGACUUUCUGGACGAUGUCUGACGCUGAGGCGCGAAAGCUAGGGGAGCGAACGGGAUUAGAAACCCCUGUAGUCC